UGCCAAGUGCAAAGGACCUUGAAAAAGAAACUUAUCGGACUUUUGAUUCAUUGUACACAAAGGGAAGGGAGGAGGUGGUAACUUCAGUGAGAGAGAAAUUCUAGACCAGUGGGAUUGUGGUCAGAGAUUUUGUUAUUUUAUUCAUUAGAAUUCUUUACGGGAGGAUAAGUUAGCAAAAGUUAAUGCUAUUUUUUUGUGUUCUGGUCUUUUUCAGGAAAUUUUUUACAGGCCCAAUUUUGUGAAAUAUGGAUUUUGUACAAAUUAUAAUGGAAUGAAAAUUGAGGUCCAGAUAGGAUUUUAAUUGGACCUGUUUUAUCAACAGAAAUUAAAUGGCAUAUUAGAUGAACUGCCAUCAAAGGGAGCAUUCCCAAUCUAAGGGUGUUUUUAUGUACCAUACUUUUUUCUGAGCUUGGUCUCUAGAUUCUUCUAUGACCAUUAUUAGCUAAAUUGCAGAUCAAGAUACUAAAUAAUUUGGAAAUUUGCACCCAGAUUACAUUCCUGAUUUUCCCUUCUCAUUCUCUCCUGAAAGUGGUUAUGGCAGAAGGAGAUUGGAUAUGGCCUCUUGUUUCCAGUUUUUUCUCUUUCUUGUUGCUACUUCUUGUCUUAGAGAAAAUGAUUUUAUACUUUUUUGUUUUUAUUUUUACUUUUAUUUUUGUCUUUUCUCUUUCUCUCUGGCUUGGAGGGGAGCGUGGAGAACACUAAUGCCUACCCUUCCUUCUCUAUUCCUGGGAGCUCUUUUCCUCUUUCUGAGAGGUUCAGGGACUCAAGUUCUUUCUAACUAACCAGGAGUUCCAAGCAAGAACGGACUGACAGGAUCCUGAAAAGCCUUCACAGCUUAUUUCCCCAUCCUGGCAAUUUUUCAUCCUCAAAGACAUGAGACAUGGGACACAAUAAUUCCCUUUCCACAUUAGCUGAAAAGGGUGAAAAGUUAGAUUCUGAAAUAUAUUGAAGAAGAAUCUGAAAUACACUGAAGCUUUAUGCAAUCAGCAGAAAGACAUCUAUAAUAAGAGCAUCUGCAUGGCAUCGCUAUCCCAAGGGAAUCCUUCUUCCAUUUGGCAUCUGUAGUGAACACUGUCCAGUACAAUGGCUCAUCUAUAAAUCUCAACCUAUAGAAACAAGAUUUCUCACCCAAGGCUGCCAAGCUAUGUGCAAAGCAUCAGCAUCAGCGAAUUUAAGACCUAACAAAAUAUAUUGUUACAAUGAGUCAUUUAACAACCCUUUAAUUUAUAAUGUAAGCAACUAGCAUUAGAAUAUGACAUACUGGAAAGGUCUCUAUAUUUUUCUCUGUAGACAAUAGUACUGUCUUUAUGUAUAUUCUUUAUAUAGUGUACAUCAUUGUAAUGCUGAAAAGUUGGUAUCCUGGUAUUCAUUUAUUCAUGUAUUGAAUAUUUAGUGUUAUGUGCCAAUUGCUGUAUUAUAUGUUAAUGGAGAUGCAAAGUUUAUAUACUAUACAGUUCCUUCCUAUGUAUUAAGAUAUAUUGUUUCUGUGCUGCUGAGUAUCUACAAAUGUUAAAAGUGCCUUUUAAAUUCAGCACCCAUAAGUAAAACCCAAGUUACCCCACCCUGAUUAUUUGAUUUGUGCCAAGACAGCUCUUGCCACCUCCUUUUGACCAUCUUCAAUAUUACUCAAUAACCAGGAUGACUAAAUUUUUCUCUUUUUUUUCAUUUUGGUAUCAUAAAGACAAUGCUUCAGAAAUUCAUACUAAAAUGAUCUAUACUGGUUCUAAUACUCUUCACUUAUGAGAGUCUCUCCUUCAUUUUGAGCAUAAAAUUUUUCAUUAAAAGGUCAAUAAGGGGGCAGCUAGGUGGCGCAGUGGAUAGAGCACCAGCCCUGAAGUCAGGAGGACC